AAAGGAUUUGGGCCGCCUUUCUUUCGGGAUUAAGUCUACGAGAUACCACGAAACGCGUGUUUUGUCUGUUUGUCGUUUGUGUCUAACGUCUAGGAAUUUUUUGCCGUCGUCCGCCACGCUUGACUGUUCUAAUCGGUAGCACGGAUCACCAGUUUAGCGGGAGUCUACUCGAUUCCAGAGCUGACUUGGGAGUUGAGUAUAACAGAGAUUGGAUGGGCUUCGGACUAGAUGCUGAAUAUCUGCCUGGUAUUUGGUCUACAUACUUCGUGAAGUCCCUCGAUACGUAUCCGGUGCAGCCGACAACAACAGGCAAAAUUGUUAGUUUCGCUCUCCACAUUCUUUGAAUUUCUAUAGCCUGGCACCUGUAUUUCAGAUUCUUCUCAUCAUCAGCUGGGAUAGAUACAUCAAUGAGGUAAGUGGUUUUUUCUUCUCUAAUGAUAAUGUCCGCACGGUUAGCUGCUCCACUCUGGCCGUCCUGGUCCGGCAUUGUCCUGUCCCUCUUUAUAGGGUAGUCAAACAUUAUCGUGACUCUUCUUUCUUCGCUGGUUGUGACCUUUUCCGAAUCAUGCUGAUACCACUGCUCCGCCUUAAGUUGGCACCGAUAAUAUUUACAUAGCUCUAAAUGUAUUAGCGAGCAAACUUUAUUAUGUCUCUCAAUGAAUUUGCUCUCGCUUUUUUCCUUGCACAGUCUACACUUGUUAUCUUGACGCUGAAACCCAUUACGGUACUAAUAAACAAUAGCAUUGAGGGAUGUUUUCCAGAUGAAUAAAAAGUGACAAAAUUCUUCCAUGGUCGCCUCAUAUAGACUACCUGUGCGGCAAAUUGUCUUCUCAGGUUUUUGUUCUGAGACAACUGCGAGGUUCCAUCUCUCGAAGCACUCUCCGUAUAGUUUAUUUUGCACUGUUUCAUAGUGUCUUAUCAUAUGGACUACUAUUGUGGGGGAACGCAACGGAGGACGAGAGAGCCUUUAGAUUGCAGAAGUCUGCGGUUCGGGUUCUUGGGGAUGUUCCGCCGUCCAGCCACUGCCGCCCAAUAUUCAAAAAAUUGAAAAUAUUUACGUUACCAUGUAUGUUUAUUAUCCAAACUUUAGUUGAAAUCCGCUCAAAUUUGUCUGCUUUUCCGACUCAUGCUGGAUUCACAGCUACAUGACGCGAACAGCUGACGAUAUCAUAACAUUAAGAUCGAGGUUGUGUACUACACAAAAAAAUAAACUUAAUGUAGAUUUGUAUAAUAUUUUUGUAAACACUCUUUUUCGGUCCAAAAAUUUUCAUGUUAAACGACUUUCCAUUAAAAAAUUCAAAAAAUUAUCAAAAAAGUUUUUUGAAGAGCAUUUUUUUUCUAUUAUAUAAACGAAUUCGUUACUCAUCAUACACAGUAGAUCUAAGUUAUUUUAUAAAUGAAUUAUUCUUAGAGUGUACAAAGUUUUACUUUCUAGUUACACUG